rnacentral:rRNA from 1 species
UAACUCCGUGCCAGCAGCCGCGGUAAUACGGAGGACACAAGCGUUAUCCGGAUUUAUUGGGUUUAAAGGGUGCGUAGGCGGUUUGUUAAGUCAGUAGUGAAAUCUUACAGCUCAACUGUAAAAUUGCUAUUGAUACUAGCAACCUUGAGUAAGAUUGGAGCAAUUGGAAUGUGUGGUGUAGCGGUGAAAUGCAUAGAUAUCACACGGAACACCGAUCGCGAAGGCAGAUUGCUAAGUCUUUACUGACGCUGAGGCACGAAAGCGUGGGUAGCAAACAGGAUUAGAUACCCUGGUAGUCCACGCUGUAAACGAUGAUCACUAGCUGUUGGAUUGUUUUUUUUAUUCAGUGGCCAAUCGAAAGAGAUAAGUGAUCCACCUGGGGAGUACGAUCGCAAGAUUGAAACUCAAAGGAAUUGACGGGGGCCCGCACAAGCGGUGGAGCACGUGGUUUAAUUCGAUAAUACGCGAGGAACCUUACCAAGGCUUAAAUGUACCACGAAUAGGCUGGAAACAGCUUAGUUUUCGGACGGGGUACAAGGUGCUGCAUGGUUGUCGUCAGCUCGUGCCGUGAGGUGUUGGGUUAAGUCCUGCAACGAGCGCAACCCCUAUUGUUAGUUGCCAACGGAUGAUGCCGGGAACUCUAACAAAACUGCCGAUGCAAAUCGAGAGGAAGGUGGGGAUGACGUCAAAUCAUCAUGGCCCUUACGUCUUGGGCCACACACGUGCUACAAUGGCCGGUACAGAGGGAAGCCACUGGGUGACUAGAAGCGAAUCUCUAAAACCGGUCUCAGUUCGGAUUGGAGUCUGCAACUCGACUCUAUGAAGCUGGAAUCGCUAGUAAUCGGGAAACAGCCAUGACGCGGUGAAUACGUUCCUGGGCCUUGUACACACCGCCCGUCAAGCCAUGGAAGUCGGAGGUAUCUGAAGUCAGUGACCGUUAAAGGAGCUGCCUAGGGUAAAAUCGG